ensembl:lncRNA
ACGCAGCAGAUCUGAGUCGACUGGUGCGGCGGCACGUGCCGGAGGCCGAGUUUCUGGAGGUCGUAGGUCAGGAUCUGGUUUAUGUGCAGCUACACAUCCCUUUUUAAAGAGCUGGAUCUGGAGAAGAGCUCUCUGGGCGUCACGAGCUACGGGAUAUCAGACACGAGUCAGGAGGAGGUAGUGAUGCCACCGUUCUCCGUGUGUUUGGCUCUCAUCUUCUCACUGAUUGUUCCCCGUUUGUUGAAUAUCCCAAUCUGGAGCUUCGGCCCUGGAUGUGUGGAGCUUCACAGAAAACCUUCUAUAGUUUUGAUGAUCCUGGUGUCACCAGGAUUUGGGACGCGCUGCAUGAGCACCAACCCCAUACCGGUGACGACUUCUACGGAUGUGGUGGUGUUGAUCUGCGUGUUCUUGCCAUGUCCUUCAUCCCGACCAGCUUCAUCCUCUUCCUCAUCCAGGAGCGCGUCAGUUCGUGAGCGUCAACCCCACCCUCUACUGGCUGGCCAGCUUCGCCUGAGACAUGGUACACCAGAAGCCCUUCUGCUCCGGAAGACGGAUGGGAUGGGGACAGGCACGCGAGAGCUAAAAAGAGGAGCUGAGAUAGCUAAUUAAAACUCUAUUAAAACUCUAUCAAUUUCCCGCUGAAUCCUGUUCUCUGCCUCCAUUGGUCCUGACAGCGAGACUCUCUUGUCAUGAGCUACAGUCUCAGUGGAGAGAGAUGAUUUCACCUUCCCUAAUAAAUCACUAAUAAAUCAAUUAGUGUCA